rnacentral:rRNA from 1 species
AGCGAACGCUGGCGGCAGGCUUAACACAUGCAAGUCGAGCGGGCACUGGCGGGUGUCAGCGGCCGACGGGUGAGUAACGCGUGGGAACGUGCCCUCUGGUUCGGAAUAACUCAGGGAAACUUGAGCUAAUACCGGAUACGCCCUUUUGGGCUAAGGAUUGCUGCCGGAGGAUCGGGCAGCGUCUGAUUAGCUAGUUGGUGAGGUAACGGCUCACCAAGGCGACGAUCAGUAGCUGGGCUGUGAGGAUGAUCAGCCACUCUGGGGCUGAGCCACGGCCGAGAAUCCUACGCGAUGGAGGAGAGGCGGAUACUGGACUACGGGGUCAAGGCUGAUCCAGCCCGGGCGGGUAAGUGCUGAUGGCCUUAGGGAUGUAAAGUUUUUUUAUCCGGGACGAUAAUGACGGUACCGGAGGAAUAAGCCCCGGCUAACUUCGUG